UACAGAGGUCUCGAGCGUUGUUCGGAUUCAUUGGGCGUAAAGGGCGCGUAGGCGGCGGGGUAAGUCUGGUGUGAAAUCUCGGGGCUCAACUCCGAAAUUGCACUGGAUACUGCUCUGCUAGAGGGCUGGAGAGGAGAUCGGAAUUCACGGUGUAGCAGUGAAAUGCGUAGAUAUCAGGAAGAACACCCGUGGCGAAGGCGGCUCUCUGGGACGGUACUGACGCUGAGACGCGAAAGCGUGGGGAGCGAACAGG
rnacentral:rRNA from 1 species